rnacentral:rRNA from 1 species
GGAGGAGGCAAGCGUUAUCCGGGAAUCAUUGGGGCGUAAAGAGCGCGUAGGCUGUUUUUCAAGUCAUAUGUGAAAACCUCAGGGCUUAACUUGAGGACUGCAUAUGAAACUGGAAAACUUGAGUGCAGUAGGGGAAAGUGGAAUUCCUGGUGUAGCGGUGAAAUGCGCAGAUAUCAGGAAGAACACCGGUAGCGAAGGCGGCUUUCUGGGCUGCUACUGACGCUGAGGCGCGAAAGCUAGGGGAGCAAACAGGAUUAGAUACCCUGGUAGUCCUAGCUGUAAACGAUGGACAUUAGGUGUGGGGAGUUAUCGACGCUUUCCGUGCCGGAGCUAACGCAUUAAAUGUCCCGCCUGGGGAGUACGGUCGCAAGACUA